rnacentral:misc_RNA from 1 species
AACACUGUUAACCUGCGGUACCUGCGGAGGGAUCAAUAUGAAAAGCGAUGGUGGGGAGAGUUUUGCUUACGCGAGGAUGCUCUCCCACCUCAAAACCAAUGUGAAGAGUUUCGGGGGGGUGGGUGGUGGGUGGGUCCAGGGGGAGACCCCCGAGACCGAGACCCGAGACCCAGGGGAAUCCCUCGGGAAAAGACAUUAACCAGAGAGUAUUUUCAGUUGUUAUUAAAAACCAAUGUACAU